CUCAGUUACUCACUCAAUUAGCUCGCCCCCAGUUUAACAGAGCAGAGAAUGGUUUCACUUUCUGGGCUUUUUGUUGUGUUCUGAGGGAAUGCUGGAGCUCCACUGAUAUCCAUGCAAAUUCCAACCGCCGCUGCCAUUCUCUUACACAAUAAGGUUCUUCGCGUUCUUCUGCUAAAUGUACCUCUCGUUCUAUUUCUCUAUGUAUAUACACAUAUUGAUUUGUUUUUGCUUCAAUAUAUGAAUUUAUGUUUCUCGAUGAUUGCGAGCGUAUAGGUUUGUUAAGGAAUGAAUGCCUCGUUUGUGUUGGGCGUAGAGCUCUGAGUUUUGAGCUUUGCGCUUUGCUCAUUGAAGUGAUUGGAGUUUGAAGGGGUUUUGGGUUAAUUGAUUUUAGAUAGAUUUGAUUUAGGGGGUUGGGGGUUGGGGGGUGGGGAGAAGAUAGGUAUGGGAUCUCAGGGUGACGGUGGUGGGAGUGGUGGAGCCCACACUCAUACUCAAGACUCCCAAUCGAGUGGAUUGGUUAGGCAGGGCUCACUCUACAGCCUCACUCUUGAUGAGGUUGAGCAUCAAUUAGGGCAUUUGGGGAAGCCUCUUAGCAGCAUGAAUCUUGAUGAGCUUCUCAAGACUGUAUGGACUGCUGAGGCCAGUCAAGGGGAGGGGGGAACUGAUUUUGGAGUGGCCCAGCCCGGUUCUGGGGCCUCUCUGUGCCAUGACUCCAGCCUCCCGCUAUCUGGGGAUCUUAGCAAGAAGACUGUUGAUGAGGUGUGGCAGGAUAUUCAGCAGGGGCAGAAGAGGAGUGACCUUGAUAGGAAAGCUACUCUGGGUGAGAUGACGCUGGAGGACUUCUUGGUUAAGGCUGGGAUAGUAGCUGAGUCAUCACCGGGAAAGAAAGAUUUGGCAGAUUCGAUGGUGUUGCUAGAGCAGAAUGCGGUACAGCAGCCAACUCAAUGGACGCAUUAUCAGAUCCCAACAAUUCAUCAGUCACAGCAGCAGCCACCACCUCCACAGCAACAACUGCCAAAUAUGCUGCCUGUUUUUGUGACAGGCCAGCCUCUACCUGUUGUACCAAACCCAAUCAUGGAUACAAGUUAUCCCGACACACAGGUGGCCAUGUCUCCAACUAUGAUGGGAACACUAUCGGACACACAAGCACCUGGAAGAAAGCGAACUGCCCCAGACACUGUGGUUGAGAAAAGUGCUGAAAGGAGGCAGAAAAGGAUGAUUAAAAACAGGGAGUCUGCAGCUCGGUCACGAGCAAGGAAGCAGGCUUACACCCAUGAGCUGGAGAACAAGGUUUCUCUUUUAGAAGAAGAGAAUGAAAGGCUUAAAAAACAGAAGGUUUGGGAGAUCUUCGACGGAUGUCCAUGUGAGAAUAUCCUGACUAAGAGGGGACAAAAGAUUUUGAUCGAGAGAGAAUGGAAGGAGUAGAAGGAAAGUAUCAAUUGGUCAAACCUUCAGCUGAAUUUACUUCUUUGACCUUUCAUUUGAUGGCAAUUCCACAGAAUCAGUGGAGGACUAAAUUGGGAGAAGGAGAAGGUGCUGCCUUAUGUUCCACCUCCAGAGCCCAAAUAUCAGCUGCGCAGAACAAGCUCAGCCCCUUUCUGACAACUGGAUUCGUGAAUGAUAACAGUAUAGAUGCAUAGAAUUCUUGUGUCACUAAAACAACUUUCAUAAAGUAGUGUUCCUCCUCCUUACACCCCUUGUACCUGCCUGGACAACUGCUGUGAGAUUUGCGUUGGAUCGUCCUCUGGAGCCUGCCUUCGUUGGUUUCACCUUUGGCUUUCCCUGCCUUUCUCUUGAUUAGUUUCUUUCUUGUAUGCACAUUAUAUAGUUUAAAACUUAAAGAUCAUAGUUUUGCUAGCUCUUUUCUUCUUAUUGCAAA